rnacentral:rRNA from 1 species
UGGGGAAUCUUGCACAAUGGAGGAAACUCUGAUGCAGCGAUGCCGCGUGAGUGAAGAAGGCCUUUGGGUUGUAAAGCUCUUUUGUAGGGGAAGAUAAUGACUGUACCCUAGGAAUAAGGUCCGGCUAACUUCGUGCCAGCAGCCGCGGUAAUACGAAGGGACCUAGCGUAGUUCGGAAUUACUGAGCGUAAAGCGCGCGUAGGCCGUUGAGUUAGUUAAUUGUGAAAUCCCAAAGCUUAACUUUGGAACUGCAAUUAAAACUGCUCGACUAGAGUUUGAUAGAGGAAAGCGGAAUACAUAGUGUAGAGGUGAAAUUCGUAGAUAUUAUGUAGAACACCAGUUGCGAAGGCGGCUUUCUGGAUCAACACUGACGCUGAGGCGCGAAAGUAUGGGUAGCAAAGAGGAUUAGAUACCCUCGUAGUCCAUACCAUAAACGAUGAUUGCUAGAUGUUGGAAAUUUAUUUUCAGUAUCGCAGCUAACGCAUUAAGCAAUCCGCCUGGGGAGUACGACCGCAAGGUUA